UAAAUGUAGACCGCCGUGAACCGUUCCUGCUUGGAAAGGUGUUUGCGGCGGCGGUUCCGGGCCGGGCUCGGUUCGCAAUCUUUUGCUCUUUAAAGGGGGGCCUGUAUGAGUGGCGCAACGAGGGCUUAACUGCCUCCUUUUUCAGGACAAUGAAAUUGAUCCCCCCGGGAAGAAGCGGGGGUAAAACCAUAAGACAAGAAGACCCUAUGGAUCUUUAUACACCAAGGCAGACCAGGUUCAUCACCCCCCUUUAAAGGGCAAAACUUUUUGGCUCCUGCCCUAAUGUCUUCGGUUGGGGCGACCCCGGGGGAAAAAAAAGCCCCCGAGCGGAACGAGAAUCUAAUUCUCCUAACCAAGAGUCUCUACUCUAAUAAUCAGAACUUCUGACUUAAGUGAUCCGGCAAUGCCGAUCAACGGACCAAGUUACCCUAGGGAUAACAGCGCAAUCCUCUUUUAGAGUCCAUAUCGACAAGGGGGUUUACGACCUCGAUGUUGGAUCAGGACAUCCUAAUGGCGCAGCCGCUAUUAAGGGUUCGUUUGUUCAACGAUUAAAGUCCUACGUGAUCUGAAUUCAAACCGGA
rnacentral:rRNA from 1 species